rnacentral:rRNA from 1 species
CCUACGGGAGACAGCAGUAGGGAAUAUUGCUCAAUGGGGGAAACCCUGAAGCAGCAACGCCGCGUGGAGGAUGAAGGUUUUCGGAUUGUACACUCCUUUUGUUAGAGAAGAUAAUGACGGUAUCUAACGAAUAAGCACCGGCUAACUCCGUGCCAGCAGCCGCGGUAAUACGGAGGGUGCAAGCGUUACUCAGAAUCACUGGGCGUAAAGGGCGCGUAGGCGGGAUAGCAAGUCAGAUGUGAAAUCGUAUGGCUUAACCAUAGAACUGCAUUUGAAACUGUUAUUCUAGAGUAUGGGAGAGGUAGGUGGAAUGCGUGGUGUAGGGGUAAAAUGCGUAGAGAGCACGAAGAAUACUGAGUGAGAAGGCGGCCUGCUAGAACAUAACUGACGCUGAUGCGCGAAAGCGUGGGGAGCAAACAGGAUUAGAUACCCUUGUAGUC